rnacentral:misc_RNA from 1 species
ACUGUGCCACGGAGGACACCGCGAGCACCGCCAUUAGCAUCAAGAACACUAAGCUUGAAGAAGCCAUAGCAAUUUCUUUUCUUGUUCAAUGAGGUCGGAACACACAGAAUGAGAGAGGUGCAAGUGUGGUAAUAAAUUACGGUGAGAGGGGGUGUAUAUAUAUAUAGCAUUUCGGUGUGAGUUGUUUUGGUCAAAUCAAGAGCCGUUAGAUUUUCUGUAUCUUUAAGGCACGAAUUUUGAGGGGCAUAAACGGUUCAGAUUGUGGUGAUGGACAAGACCAGCUGGAGGGAUUGAUUUUGGGUGUGCGAAAUCAUGAUUGUGGGGACCAGGUAAGGCAAAAAGACACACGGUGUUUUUGGACUGGUGGGGUCGGUGACUGUUGUCAAUUAAUUAUGGCCGUACACGUGUUGUGGAAUUUGAAAAGUGGAAGGAAGGACAGUUUGCCCUUUGCAUAACGGUCUAAAAAAUGGAAAAGCGGAGUGUUCUGGUUUCGGAGAAUGCGGUGCGAAAGUCCGCAGUGAUUCAGGGAAUUUAAUUUAUGGGAAAAACCUGGAUAACACGUUGAAUUAUUUUUAGAAAUUGAUCUGACAAUUUCUUCUUCCAGUGAUCAACAACACUGGAUUUGCAUCAAUGGGAUCUCUCAUGUCUAGUUUACACCUUUUAAGAAGAAAAUGAAUGAAUGGCUUUUCAGUGCAGUGCAGUACAUAAUUCUUUCAGCAGAACUUCAUUUUGCCAAGCAAGUGUAAUCAUAGUUAAGAGUUUCUCACUAGAGAAUGAUAAAAGAAUUUGAAUUGAUAAAUUAUGCCAUUCUUUUUGUGUGACUCAUGGGUGUCGAAGCCGGAGCACCUUGCUCAUCGGUUAGAAGUAGCAUCUGCUGCAGUGUUGAUGCUAGGUUUACCAUUUUCACUGGUGAGAUUGCUUAAUUGGCCAUUGAAUUCUACUCCAUAGAUAUGACCCAUUUUAGCACGUUUGGUCUCCAGAUACCUCUUGUUUUCCUUUGUGAUGGUAGUUAACAAAGGAAUCCUACCUGCAACUGUCAAACCAUAGCCCUUGAGCCCAAUGUACUUUGCAGGGUUGUUUGUCAUCAACUUCAUUGUUCGGACACCCAGAUCCUGUAAUAUCUGGGCACCAAUGCCAUAUUCUCGUGAAUCAACAGGCAGUCCUAGUUCUUCAUUUGCUUCAACUGUAUCACGCCCAGCAUCCUGUAGGUUGUAAGCACGGAGCUUGUGGCCCAAACCAAUUCCUCUACCUUCAUGUCCGCGGAGGUAUACCAAUACACCCCUGCCAGCAGCCUCAAUUUGCUUCAUUGCAAGGGCUAGCUGAUUUCCACAAUCACAUCUCGCUGAUCCAAAUAUGUCACCAGUGAGGCACUCAGAAUGCACCCUCACAAGAAUAUCCUUACCAUCACCAAUUUCACCUUUAACCAUUGCUAUAUGCUCUAUCCCAUCCAGAAAUGACCUAUAACAGUAGGCUUUGAAUGGUCCCCACAUUGUGGGUAUUGGAGCAGUGGCAGACAACUCCACCAGUCUAUCUCUUUUCCUCCUAUAUCUGUCAAUUAUACAAACAUUACCGAGUCAAAUAUCACUUUCAUUCAAAAUAACAGGAAUAUAACUAUUAAAAUAGCAAUUACCCUCAUAUCAAUUCCAAUAAGUAACUCUGUUAAGUAAGUCUAAAUAGGUGUCUUUAUCAAAGGAGUAACUAAAAAUAUGUUACAUAACAGCCUGCACACUUAGUGAAAUAGAGGAAUAGGGAGAGAAAGAGAGAGAAAUAGGUGAGAAAACAGAUAGAUUGGAUGAGAAAAGAAAUAGAUUGGAUGAGAAGAGAAAAGAAUAUUCAAAGAUGAGAGAAAAGUAUUCUUGUUUAUUGAUUCUUGGAAUAGCCUAUUCUAAUACAGAUAUACUCUAUUUAUACACUCCUAACUACUGUAACUGUUUUGACUUCUCCUAAAAAGCUGUAACAUCUUUACAACCACUCAACUACCAUAUACCACCCUCACUAUUCUACUACUUUCACAUACAAUUAAAAACUUUAUUCUCCUUACUAGUAUUCAUUACAUUCCCUACUCCUUGAAAUCAUUCUUGGCCUCAAGAAUGAAUAACGGAGGGUGCAACACUGAAAUUAUU